ensembl:lncRNA
CCCAUGACAAAAGCUGCUACUCAUGGAGACAGAUGCUCAGCUUAUUAUUAAACUAUUAUACCUAGUAAGAUUUUAAUAGUGGCCUAUACUAAAACCUUUGGAGACGGCCUGCAAAAAGACAUUUUCACGUUGUAUCAAAUGAGCAGUAUCCAUGUUGUGAACAGAGUUUUUCUUUCAAUUGUCCCGGCACACAAGUUGAAAUUCAAAUUUGCAGAGAAAUGGAUCAGCAGCAGCAUUGGUGAUAUUCCUGGGAUGGGGCCCGGCUAGCUCUUGGAAGGCCUCCAUGCUGCCGUUCAUCACUCGCGACCUACCCUUCAGGCCACUCCUCUGUUUCCUCCACUCAGACGCCCGUGCCCCGGUCUCGAUGAAAGUGCUCAAGAGGGCACCGUGAGGACUACUUCGAGCGCGCGACCAGCCAGCUCAUGCCAGCACAGGCGUUUUAUAAGAUUUUGGGGUUUUUCAUUGUUCCACCCAGUUCACCCAGCGGUCCCACAUUGCAGCAGGGACAGCCACGACAGAGUUUUCCCUCCUCUCCUUCUGGCAUCCCCGCUCCCUCUUCCACAAGGAAGCAUUGAUGUGAACCCAUUUUUGUGUGUCAUCAUAGCAAACUCUGCUCCUUGAGACACCAACUGUAGCAGGAACUACCUCAGACAUUUUGGUGUUAUGACUCGCAGUGUCGUGCAGACCAUCCACGAGUUUAGUGCUUUAAAUUUUGAGCUCGUGCUGCUGAGAGCCGUGCGCUCACUGGCUGACAGGCUGACAGACUGACUGCUCCACUCCAGGUCUGCUCUUCCCACAACACUCACAAGACCAACCGGCACACACCCGGCGGAGGAGUGCCGGGGGACGGGAUGCCGGCGGCGGUGCCCACGUAAGAGAGAGGAGAGUCUGGAGCUCCUGCACCGGCAGCACAAACACGGCUGUCCGCCGGUCUCCAGUCGGUGAAAUAAUCACCUCUUACAUCCACCGAUCCCGCUGAUUGCUGAGCAGGUGGAAAGAGAAGGGGCAGACUGCGCGCACUCCGGGACCAUGAUCCGGAGCAGCACACGGGUUAUUUCUCAAGGAUAGAGCUGAGAGGAAGAGAA